rnacentral:tRNA from 1 species
GCCCUGGUGGUGAAAUUGGUAGACACGCUAUCUUGAGGGGGUAGUGCUGGCAACGGCGUGCUGGUUCGAGUCCAGUCCAGGGCACCA